AUUGAACGCUGGCGGCAUGCCUUACACAUGCAAGUCGAACGGCAGCGCGGGAGCAAUCCUGGCGGCGAGUGGCGAACGGGUGAGUAAUAUAUCGGAACGUGCCCAGUAGUGGGGGAUAGCCCGGCGAAAGCCGGAUUAAUACCGCAUGAGACCUGAGGGUGAAAGCGGGGGAUCGCAAGACCUCGCGCUAUUGGAGCGGCCGAUAUCAGAUUAGCUAGUUGGUGGGGUAAAGGCCUACCAAGGCAACGAUCUGUAGUUGGUCUGGGAGGACGACCAGCCACACUGGGACUGAGACACGGCCCAGACUCCUACGGGAGGCAGCAGUGGGGAAUUUUGGACAAUGGGCGCAAGCCUGAUCCAGCAAUGCCGCGUGCAGGAAGAAGGCCUC
rnacentral:rRNA from 1 species